AGACUCUGCCUACUCUACUCCUCUGUUUAUGUAAUAACGUUAUUUAAAAAAUUAACAUGGACAAAGAGUGUUCCCCAUGCUGCUUCCAGGUCCGAAAAAGCCCUGCUAUCCCCAUAUUUCUAUUACAAUUUAAUAGGCAGAGAGCCCCAGUGUUUUUAGUGUAGCUUCUCUUUUCAAUGGCUCUAGAAGCUGUGAGUUUCAAGUAGCCAUCUAAAGACAUGCUGUUUGCAGGUGAAAGAUAACAAGCUGUGCUGGGACACUGCAGGUAGCAUGUGCCAGCACACUUGUGCUUGUACAGCUCACCCAUCCAGAUAGUCCCUUAAACGUUUUCCUCCUCAUACUCUUCCUUGAUGUUCAGUAGAUUGCUUUGUUUUUCUAGAGUGGGCUUUAAAAGUUUAUCCUGCUUGCUCCAUGUUGUUCCAGAAGCCCUAUGUAUUUCCAUCCGAAGAGGCUUCCUGUUUUUUAUAGUUGUCUUGGUCUGCAAUUAGCCUUUAGUCAGAAGACAGCAACAGCUGUUUGUGAAACAGCCAAAUCAACAACCAUCAAGACAACCUGGAACUUCAAGGAUUUUGACAAACCGUGAAAUAUGAGAUCCUUAAGGACAUAUGUUUCUACUGGAUGGUGUAAGGAUGUUCGUGAGCUUUGGAGGGAAAACCGGAGGUUGAAUCGUAGAUGGAAAAAGGAAGAAGCAAUCAUAUGGUUUUCUUUCUUUGCUGGCUCAUUUUGAUGGGGUAUGCAGCUUAAUAAACUUACACUUGCCCGAGUCCUCCCUGCUAAAAUUUUAGCCAGGCUAAUCUGUGUGUGUGUGUGUGUGUGUGUGUGUGUGCAAUCCAGAGAUCGUAAGUAGGAGCUACUUUUUUCAUUGGUCUCUAAUUAUAUGUAUUGAUGACAGUAGCUGUACUGAAGAGCAUCGGUUCUGAUUGGAAUGUUUUAAUUCUCCCACAGUGAACUGUAAAGAUGUUUGGCAUACUUCUGGGAGACUAUUUUGUUGUGACUUUCUAGUACCCGUAACUUGAUGAUCAUGCUGUACAUGGCUGUACCACACCUUUAUUAGUGCUGACUGAAAUGUUUAUCUGAUAGUAUUCUGCUAAUAUAUACUUUAGUAUUGGCUAUAGGUGGCUUUUAAGAGAAUAAAGUCUUUCAAGUACAAAGUACAAAAUUAAAUGGAUGUAGCUAGAAAUGUUGUAUGUGUGUAAAUUCUAAGCAUAAUUUAUCUCUUACUGCACCUAAAAAUAUUCACUAUUUGGUUACACCCUUCCCUUCCACACCUCCUACUACAAAAUAAAUUAGUUCUGUUUC